rnacentral:rRNA from 1 species
GAUGAACGCUGGCGGCGUGCCUAAUACAUGCAAGUCGAGCGAACAGACGAGGAGCUUGCUCCUCUGACGUUAGCGGCGGACGGGUGAGUAACACGUGGAUAACCUACCUAUAAGACUGGGAUAACUUCGGGAAACCGGAGCUAAUACCGGAUAAUAUAUUUAACCGCAUGGUUCAAUAGUGAAAUACGGUUUUUCUGUCACUUAUAGAUGGAUCCGCGCCGCAUUAGCUAGUUGGUAAGGUAACGGCUUACCAAGGCAACGAUGCGUAGCCGACCUGAGAGGGUGAUCGGCCACACUGGAACUGAGACACGGUCCAGACUCCUACGGGAGGCAGCAGUAGGGAAUCUUCCGCAAUGGGCGAAAGCCUGGCGGAGCAACGCCGCGUGAGUGAUGAAGGUCUUCGGAUCGUAAAACUCUGUUAUUAGGGAAGAACAAAUGUGUAAGUAACUAUGCACGUAUUGACGGUAACUAAUCAGAAAGCCACGGCUAACUACGUG